GGAGCUAACCCUUGCUCCUACGUCCACUCCCCAAGUCUCAUUUGGGAAUUCACUAUAACCCCUUGGAUUACAGCUGGUUGUUUUCCAAGCUCACAACCAAACUUGUUGUUUUACGAGCUCACAACGAACUCGGUCGGUUUUUCCAGGCUCACCGACUAGAACCAACCCCGAUUGUUUUUCGGGAUCACAAUCGAACCCUUACACGUUGGUUUUACACUCGGCUCACCAACCAACCUCUAUACCCUUGAUUCAAUCCCCCGAUUGAACCAAGCAAAGACAAUGUGUAGAUGAAAAGAACAAACAGAAAAAUACAGCUUCUCAAAAGCAGAUAAAUGGCAAUAUGAACAAUAACGAAGUUAAGAGCCCUCAAACGCUUUUAAGUUGGAGAAGAGGAAGGGCUUCUUGAACUUCGGGUCUCCUCUUGAAUGUGUAGUCG
rnacentral:lncRNA from 1 species